rnacentral:rRNA from 1 species
GACGAACGCUGGCGGCGUGCUUAACACAUGCAAGUCGAACGGAAAGGCCCUGCUUUUGUGGGGUGCUCGAUUGGCGAACGGGUGAGUAACACGUGAGUAACCUGCCCUUGACUUUGGGAUAACUUCAGGAAACUGGGGCUAAUACCGGAUAGGAUCUCCUGCUGCAUGGUGGGGGGUGGAAAGUUUCGGCGGUUGGGGAUGGACUCGCGGCUUAUCAGCUUGUUGGUGGGGUAGUGGCUUACCAAGGCUGUGACGGGUAGCCGGCCUGAGAGGGUGGACGGCGACAUUGGGACUGAGAGACGGACCAGACUCCUACGGGAGGCAGAAGUGGGGAGUAUGGCACAAUGGGCGGAAGCCUGAUGCAGCAACGCCGCGUGCGGGAUGACGGCCUUCGGGUUGUAAACCGCUUUCGCCUGUGACGAAGCGUGAGUGACGGUAAUGGGUAAAGAAGCACCGGCUAACUACGUG